rnacentral:tRNA from 1 species
GGCUAGAGCGCCUGCCUUGCACGCAGGAGGUCAUCGGUUCGACUCCGAUAUUCUCC